UUGAUUACCCCUGACCAUGUGGGGAUGUUCCGUGAGGCAUACGGUGGUAUUCUGAAGUUGGUUUUCAGGCUCACAGACAGUGAUAGGAGCGAUUACCCCUGACCAUGUGGGGAUGUUCCGUGAGGCAUACGGUGGUAUUCUGAAGUUGGUUUUCAGGCUCACAGACAGUGAUAGGAGCGCCAUUCAUACUCUUCUCCAGUUUUAUGACCCUGGUUUGAGGUGUUUCGUGUUCCCGGAUUACUUGUUGGGACCCUUGAUGGAGGAUUAUGCUAGCAUCUUGGGUAUUCAGAUCCGAGAUCAGAUUCCUUUCUUUGCCACUAAGGCUGAGCCUGUUGUUG
rnacentral:lncRNA from 1 species